CCUACGGGAGGCAGCAGUGGGGAAUAUUGCACAAUGGGGGAAACCCUGAUGCAGCGACGCCGCGUGAAGGAAGAAGUAUUUCGGUAUGUAAACUUCUAUCAGCAGGGAAGAAAAUGACGGUACCUGACUAAGAAGCCCCGGCUAACUACGUGCCAGCAGCCGCGGUAAUACGUAGGGUGCAGGCGUUAUCCGGAUUUACUGGGUGUAAAGGGAGCGUAGGCGGUUUAGCAAGCCAGAAGUGAAAGCCCGGGGCGCAACCCCGGGACUGCUUUUGAAACUGUUGAACUAGAGUGCAGGAGAGGUAAGUGGAAUUCCUGGUGUAGCGGUGAAAUGCGUAGAUAUUAGGAGGAACACCAGUGGCGAAGGCGGCUUACUGGACUGUAAAUGACGCUGAGGCUCGAAGGCGUGGGGAGCGAACAGGAUUAGAUACCCCAGUAGUC
rnacentral:rRNA from 1 species